rnacentral:rRNA from 1 species
GAUGAACGCUGGCGGCGUGCCUAAUACAUGCAAGUCGAGCGAACAGACGAGGAGCUUGCUCCUCUGACGUUAGCGGCGGACGGGUGAGUAACACGUGGAUAACCUACCUAUAAGACUGGGAUAACUUCGGGAAACCGGAGCUAAUACCGGAUAAUAUAUUGAACCGCAUGGUUCAAGAGUGAAAGACGGUUUUGCUGUCACUUAUAGAUGGAUCCGCGCCGCAUUAGCUAGUUGGUAAGGUAACGGCUUACCAAGGCGACGAUGCGUAGCCGACCUGAGAGGGUGAUCGGCCACACUGGAACUGAGACACGGUCCAGACUCCUACGGGAGGCAGCAGUAGGGAAUCUUCCGCAAUGGGCGAAAGCCUGACGGAGCAACGCCGCGUGAGUGAUGAAGGUCUUCGGAUCGUAAAACUCUGUUAUUAGGGAAGAACAAAUGUGUAAGUAACUGUGCACGUCUUGACGGUACCUAAUCAGAAAGCCACGGCUAACUACGUG